rnacentral:rRNA from 1 species
GAUGAACGCUGGCGGCGUGCCUAAUACAUGCAAGUCGAGCGAACAGACGAGGAGCUUGCUCCUCUGACGUUAGCGGCGGACGGGUGAGUAACACGUGGAUAACCUACCUAUAAGACUGGGAUAACUUCGGGAAACCGGAGCUAAUACCGGAUAACAUGUUGAACCGCAUGGUUCAACAGUGAAAGACGGUCUUGCUGUCACUUAUAGAUGGAUCCGCGCCGCAUUAACUAGUUGGUAAGGUAACGGCUUACCAAGGCAACGAUGCGUAGCCGACCUGAGAGGGUGAUCGGCCACACUGGAACUGAGACACGGUCCAGACUCCUACGGGAGGCAGCAGUAGGGAAUCUUCCGCAAUGGGCGAAAGCCUGACGGAGCAACGCCGCGUGAGUGAAGGAGGUCUUCGGAUCGUAAAACUCUGUUAUUAGGGAAGAACAAAUGUGUAAGUAACUAUGCACGUCUUGACGGUACCUAAUCAGAAAGCCACGGCUAACUACGUG